rnacentral:rRNA from 1 species
GACGAACGCUGGCGGCGUGCUUAACACAUGCAAGUCGAACGGAAAGGCCCUGCUUUUGUGGGGUGCUCGAGUGGCGAACGGGUGAGUAACACGUGAGUAACCUGCCCUUGACUUUGGGAUAACUUAAGGAAACUGGGGCUAAUACCGGAUAGGAGCUUCUGCUGCAUGGUGGGGGUUGGAAAGUUGCGGCGGUUGGGGCUGGACUCGCGGCUUAUGAGCUUGUUGGUGGGGUAGUGGUUUACCAAGGCUUUGACGGGUAGCCGGCCUGAGAGGGUGACCGGCCACAUGGGUCCUGCGGUAGGGCCCAGUCUCCUAUGGGAGGCAGCGGGCGGGAGCAUUGCACAGCGGUCGGACGCGUGAUACGACGGCCCUCGGUUCGGAAUGUCGUCUUUUGGGGUGUAAACCGCUUUCGCCUGAUACGAGGCGUUAGUGACGGUACUGGAUAAAGAAGCACCGGCUAACUACGUG